AUUGAACGCUGGCGGCAGGCCUAACACAUGCAAGUCGAACGAGUGGCGGACGGGUGAGUAAUGUCUGGGAAACUGCCCGAUGGAGGGGGAUAACUACUGGAAACGGUAGCUAAUACCGCAUACCAUCGGAUGUGCCCAGAUGGGAUUAGCUAGUAGGUGGGGUAACGGCGCACCUAGGCGACGAUCCCUAGCUGGUCUGAGAGGCUGACCAGCCAAACUGGAACUGAGACACGGUCCAGACUCCUACGGUAGGCAGCAGUGGGGAAUAUUGCAAAAUGGGCGCAAGCCUGAUGCAGCCAUGCCGCGUGUAUGAAGAAGGCCUUCGGGUUGUAAAGUACUUUCAGCGAGGAGGCGUUACUCACAGAAGAAGCACCGGCUAACUACGUGCCAGCCGCCGCGGUAAUAC
rnacentral:rRNA from 1 species